UAGAGUUAUUUUGAUGUUUCCAAGCUUUUAGUGUAGUUGGUUAUGUGGGUGAAGCAAGCUUGAGCUCUUGGAACUCAAAGCUUGGUCUUUAAUGUUUGAGACCAUUUGGUUAGGUUUGGAGGGAGUUGUAGAUAAGCGAAACUCGGGCUCUAAUUCUACAGAAAAACGGUCGUCGACCAUUUUUCUGGGGAGGAACACCUAAAAAUAGUCUGCUAUUUUUUUUAAACGGUUUGUCAUUUUUGGUGAUGUUCGCGACCCCCAUUUUUUGUGUUUUCUUAAUAUUUAGGGUAUUGCCAUACUAUGUAUAGAUAGGGAAAUUUCGAAUUAUGAAUUCAAAGACCUAGAAUGGAUUAGGUCAAGUUGUUGGCCGAUUUACCGUUGUUGUGACCUAGGACCGAGAUCGUCAUCCAUUUUUUCAUUUAGAUUGGCCAGCAUGCAUGACUCUAGAAUUAAAAGUAAGAAAAGUACAAAUGUACUAAAUAGCAUGUCAUGUUGGGAUACAACUAUUAUCAUUUAUAAUAUACGAUUAUUAUCGUUUAUAAGACACGGUCAUUACUAUUGUGUGAGAAAAAGCCCUGGCUAUAAAUUGAAAUUGUUGUUAGGUUUCUUA